rnacentral:piRNA from 1 species
UUUGAGGUUAUGAUUCGCUGGUGGAUAAC